rnacentral:rRNA from 1 species
AGAGUUUGAUCAUGGCUCAGGACGAACGCUGGCGGCGUGCCUAAUACAUGCAAGUAGAACGCUGACUACUUUAGCUUGCUAGAGUAGAAGGAGUUGCGAACGGGUGAGUAACGCGUAGGUAGCCUGCCUACUAGCGGGGGAUAACUAUUGGAAACGAUAGCUAAUACCGCAUAACAGUGUUUAACACAUGUUAGAUGCUUGAAAGAUGCAAAUGCAUCACUAGUAGAUGGACCUGCGUUGUAUUAGCUAGUUGGUGGGGUAACGGCCUACCAAGGCGACGAUACAUAGCCGACCUGAGAGGGUGAUCGGCCACACUGGGACUGAGACACGGCCCAGACUCCUACGGGAGGCAGCAGUAGGGAAUCUUCGGCAAUGGGGGCAACCCUGACCGAGCAACGCCGCGUGAGUGAAGAAGGUUUUCGGAUCGUAAAGCUCUGUUGUAAGAGAAGAACGUGUGUGAGAGUGGAAAGUUCACACAGUGACGGUAACUUACCAGAAAGGGACGGCUAACUACGUGCCAGCAGCCGCGGUAAUACGUAGGUCCCGAGCGUUGUCCGGAUUUAUUGGGCGUAAAGCGAGCGCAGGCGGUUUAAUAAGUCUGAAGUUAAAGGCAGUGGCUUAACCAUUGUUCGCUUUGGAAACUGUUAAACUUGAGUGCAGAAGGGGAGAGUGGAAUUCCAUGUGUAGCGGUGAAAUGCGUAGAUAUAUGGAGGAACACCGGUGGCGAAAGCGGCUCUCUGGUCUGUAACUGACGCUGAGGCUCGAAAGCGUGGGGAGCAAACAGGAUUAGAUACCCUGGUAGUCCACGCCGUAAACGAUGAGUGCUAGGUGUUAGGCCCUUUCCGGGGCUUAGUGCCGCAGCUCACGCAUUAAGCACUCCGCCUGGGGA